UUUUUUCCUUUCCCUACUUGUCCUAACCCACCAUCUUUACCAUUUCCUUUCCCACCUUUGCCUCCUUUAUUUCCUUCACCUCCAAGUCCAUCUCAACCAUCUGCACCACCUCCGCCACCCCCAUUUAGUCUCAGUGAUCCAAGGACCUGGAUACCCUAUGUUUCUCCAUUUUCUCCUCCACCGCCUCCGCCAUCAUCACCACCUCCAUUCAGUCUCAGCGAUCCAAGAACCUGGAUACCCCAUCUUCCUCCAUUUUCCCCUCCCCCACCUCCUGCUUUCGAUCCCCGAGACCCGAGAACCUGGAUUCCUAAUAUCCCUCCAUUUUCUCCUUCCCCACCUCCUGCAUUUGAUCCUAGAGACCCCAGAACAUGGAUUCCCCGUAUUCCUCCAUUUUUCCCUCCCCCAC
rnacentral:lncRNA from 1 species